GACGAACGCUGGCGGCGUGCUUAACACAUGCAAGUCGAGCGGUAAGGCCCUUUCGGGGGUACACGAGCGGCGAACGGGUGAGUAACACGUGGGUGACCUGCCCUCAGCUCUGGGAUAAGCCUGGGAAACCGGGUCUAAUACUGGAUAUGACUCCAUGACGCAUGUUGUGGGGUGGAAAGCCUUGUGCGGCUGAGGAUGGGCCCNCGGGCCUAUCAGCUUGUUGGUGGGGUGAUGGCCUACCAAGGCGACGACGGGUAGCCGGCCUGAGAGGGCGACCGGCCACACUGGGACUGAGACACGGCCCAGACUCCUACGGGAGGCAGCAGUGGGGAAUCUUGCGCAAUGGGCGAAAGCCUGACGCAGCGACGCCGCGUGAGGGAUGACGGCCU
rnacentral:rRNA from 1 species